rnacentral:misc_RNA from 1 species
GGCUGCUUAUCAUUUUAAUGACAAUUCUCCUUCAUUAGAAAAUCUUUCACCCACUGGGGGAGGAAGUAGCACUAGGCAUCCCAAUUUCAGAGGAAUUCGACAGAGGAAUGGGAAAUGGGUCUCCGAAAUUCGCGAGCCUCGAAAGACCACACGUAUAUGGUUAGGUACUUUUCCCAUUCCUGAAAUGGCAGCUGUCGCUUACGAUGUUGCAGCUUUGGCAUUAAAAGGUCCUGAUGCGCAAUUAAACUUUCCUGAUCGUGCAUACUCCUACCCUGUCCCUGCUUCUCUGUCAGCCGCAGAUAUUCGUACUGCGGCUGCUAAUGCUGCUGCUGCUAGAGCACCUCCUUUGUCAGAAAUCAAUACAGCAGCAGGAGGAGGACAAGGGCAAGAGUUUGUGGACGAAGAGGAAAUAUUUGGAAUGCCGAAAUUGCUU